rnacentral:rRNA from 1 species
UACGUAGGGGGGCAAGCGUUGUCCGGAUUUAUUGGGCGUAAAGAGCGUGUAGGCGGUCAGAUAGGUCCGUUGUGAAAACUCGAGGCUCAACCUCGAGACGCCGAUGGAAACCAUCUGACUAGAGUCCGGAAGAGGAGAGUGGAAUUCCUGGUGUAGCGGUGAAAUGCGCAGAGUAUCAGGAAGAACACCGAUGGCGAAGGCAGGUCUCUGGGCCACUACUGACGCUGAGAAGCGAAAGCAUGGGGAGCGAACAGG